rnacentral:rRNA from 1 species
GACGAACGCUGGCGGCGCGCCUAACACAUGCAAGUCGAACGGAGUUAUUUCAGCAGAAGCUUUCGGGUGGACGCAGGGAUAACUUAGUGGCGAACGGGUGAGUAACACGUGAGGAACCUGCCCUGGAGUGGGGGACAACAGUUGGAAACGACUGCUAAUACCGCAUAAGCCCACAGCACCGCAUGGUGCAGAGGGAAAAGGAGCAAUUCGCUUCAGGAUGGCCUCGCGUCCAAUUAGGUAGAUGGUGAGGUAACGGCCCACCAUGCCGACGAUUGGUAGCCGGACUGAGAGGUUGAACGGCCACAUUGGGACUGAGACACGGCCCAGACUCCUACGGGAGGCAGCAGUGGGGAAUAUUGCACAAUGGGGGAAACCCUGAUGCAGCGACGCCGCGUGGAGGAAGAAGGUUUUCGGAUUGUAAACUCCUGUCUUCGGGGACGAUAAUGACGGUACCCGAGGAGGAAGCCACGGCUAACUACGUGCCAGCAGCCGCGGUAAAACGUAGGUGGCAAGCGUUGUCCGGAAUUACUGGGUGUAAAGGGAGCGCAGGCGGGUCGGCAAGUUGGAGGUGAAAGCUGUGGGCUCAACUCACAAACUGCCUUCAAAACUGCCGGUCUUGAGUGGUGUAGAGGUAGGCGGAAUUCCCGGUGUAGCGGUGGAAUGCGUAGAUAUCGGGAGGAACACCAGUGGCGAAGGCGGCCUACUGGGCACUAACU